rnacentral:rRNA from 1 species
AGAUUGAACGCUGGCGGCAGGCCUAACACAUGCAAGUCGAGCGGCAGCACGGGUACUUGUACCUGGUGGCGAGCGGCGGACGGGUGAGUAAUGCCUAGGAAUCUGCCUGGUAGUGGGGGAUAACGCUCGGAAACGGACGCUAAUACCGCAUACGUCCUACGGGAGAAAGCAGGGGACCUUCGGGCCUUGCGCUAUCAGAUGAGCCUAGGUCGGAUUAGCUAGUUGGUGAGGUAAUGGCUCACCAAGGCGACGAUCCGUAAGCGUGGUCUGG